rnacentral:lncRNA from 1 species
GUGGCCUUUAAUGACUCUGUUGACUUCCGUGAAGACUUCCAUCAAAAGGAAAACAUUGUUUUCUUCCUGAAGAGGAAGACCAUGCCAGUGAUUGUUAAUCUCUAUUUGGAGAACAUGCAUAGGACACACAUGUGCAUAUGGAUAUGAUUCCAGUUUGAGAACCCUCAUGGAUUACCAUUUAAACAAAAAAGUCCUAAGUGAACAUAUUGAGUGAUAAGCAUGACUAAUUUAGAAGCACAAAUUGUCAAACCGUUUCUGUUUCAAAUAAGAGAAAUAAGCAAGUAAGAUUUGAAAGAAACCGUAAAUCUAGUAAAAAUGUAAAGAUACUUAAUUACUGUCUGUUAAAACAAUUAGCAUUUGCUUAAAGACAUUGUACUUAAAAGACGUUUUCUUUUUACCAUUUUAUGUUUCAGUAGAAUUAGCAAGCAAGAAAAACUGCAUCUGGUUUGUGCACAAUGUCCUAGCAAAAAUGCAGCAUGAAUAAGCACCAUUUGCUAUCUUUAUACAUGCAGCACUUAAAACUUGCAAAUAUUUUAGAUAACACCAAAAAUUCUAGAUUUGGUGAUCAUUAUCUUCAAAACAAAAAAUAUAUUUUGGCAGGGAUCUUUGAGAAAGAUUGAAGGUAAAGUUAUAUUCAUUGGCUCUGACUUGUUAUUUGCAUUUCAAAAGACUUUUUGAUUUUCUUUACCAUAUUUUUUUUCUAAGCCACCUCCUGGAAGGAAGGAAGGAAUGAGUGAUUAAGACAUUGGCCUGGAGUUGAGGGACCUCAGAACUACCGUAUGAAUACUUCCUGUAUAACACUGGAGUUAUUACUUCUUUUCUGUGGCUUUUUUUCAGAUCAUUUGCUAUGAAGUCAACUUAUGUCAUGACAACCGUGUUCUCUAAAGUCAAAGGAGUGAGAAGCGAUUUAAACCAUCUAUUAUCUAAGAAUGCCUGGCAGCCUAUGCGGUCAAUAGACUCAUUGCUCACGUUUUUAUUGAGUUUCAUCUUCCUGUUUGCUGCCUUGGGCUAUUAUUUUAUACACCUGCACUCAGCCAGAAAUAUAAUGAAAAAGAAUCAAUCUCUGAAGAGAAAGUUAUCACCAGCCAAUAACAUUGGGCCACUUUCAUGGGUCCUGCAGUGUUUCAUCCAAUUGCCAAAAUGCUUUACCAUUAUAAACUGA